rnacentral:ncRNA from 1 species
AGUAAUUAGUAGGUAUAAUUUUCAUAAUUUGGAUGAUUAUAUAAGGGUAAAUAAUCCUUCUUAUGGGUGUUAGUUAUUAUUUCUCUAAUAGUAUCUCUUCUCAACACCACUUUAACAUAACACUUUUGGAAAAAUAACAUAAACAUACACUUUAACUUACCAUAUUCUCGUUAGCUAGUUGGUGAUGCAAUAACUUACCAAGACGAUGAUCAGUAGCUGGUCUAGAAGGAUGAUCAGUCACACUGAGACUGAGACACAGCCCAAACUCCUACGGGAGGCAGCAGUGGAGAAUAUUCCGCAAUGGGCGAGAGGCUAACGGAGCAAUGUCGCGUGAAGGUGGAAGGCCCACGGAUCGUGAACUUCUUUUCCCGGAGAAGAAGCAAUGACGGUAUUUAGGGAAUUAGCAUUGACUAAUUCUGUGCCGGCAGCAACGAUAAUACAGAGGAUGCAUGGUUAU